AUGCUGAAUGUUCACCUGCGAACAGUUACAAGAAUAUGGAAUCUAGCCAAAGGAAAACUCGCAGCAGGACAAGAAGUUGAUGUUUCAAGCAAGAAGAACAACAAUGGUAGGAAGAGGAAAGAACUAGAUCUGUCGAGAACAGCCACAAUCCCUUUGAAUAAAAGAAGAACAAUCCGUUCUCUCGCAAGGUGUUUAGGUGUGCCCCGAUCAACCCUACAUGACAGAUUUCAGUUGCAAGAGUUGAAACGCAUCACGAGCACCAUCAAAACCCACCCUCAAGCCACAGAACAAGAUAGCGAGACUAAAGUUCUGCCUAUCCAUGAUGGAUGA
rnacentral:rRNA from 1 species